rnacentral:rRNA from 1 species
GGAGGGUGCAAGCGUUAUUCGGAAUUAUUGGGCGUAAAGAGCGCGUAGGCGGCCAGUUAAGUCAGAUGUGAAAUCCCGGGGCUCAACCCCGGAAGUGCAUUUGAAACUAAUUGGCUUGAGUAUGGGAGAGGGAAGUGGAAUUCCUGGUGUAGAGGUGAAAUUCGUAGAUAUCAGGAGGAACACCGGUGGCGAAGGCGACUUCCUGGACCAAUACUGACGCUAAGGCGCGAAGGCGUGGGGAGCAAACAGGAUUAGAUACCCUGGUAGUCCACGCAGUAAACGGUGAUCACUAGGUGUAGCGGGUAUUGACCCCUGCUGUGCCGGAGUUAACGCAUUAAGUGAUCCGCCUGGGGAGUACGGCCGCAAGGUUA